AUCUCAGCAUUCCGGGCCUUUUAUAAGUUUUCACCAAAUUAUUUUUCCACAGUCAUCUGCCAUUUGAAACCUUUCUACUUGAACCAAAUUUAUAUUCUCACAUGUCUGGAAUACUGCUGCUUCUGAUCCUUUGCUCAAGCUGGGCCCCAACCAUGUGUUUCUUCUAAAAGAAGAAUUGAUCAAGGGAAAACAGCCAACUUCAGAAUGUUUUAAAUCUACAUUACAUACUGUCAAAAUAACUUUUAAAUAUAUGCAAAACUGAAUAUUUGCAAUUCAAAACAAGAGCACAUAAGGGGGAAGGAGAACAUGCUUCCAUUUCAUAUAAAUCACAUUAGAAAGAAGUUAUUUGGAUUAUCCAUAUUUUAACAGACUCACAGAGAAAUGUGUGGCAGAGUGGAAUCAGAAGUGGAACCUGAAGAUGGGACUGGGACUGAAUUACUGCAAUCUCAUAAUAAAACUUAAACAGAUGAGGAGCUGCUUCUUAUAGAUGAGCAAAGAGUAGUUUCUUCAGAUGGAAUCUACUCCUGGUGAAGAUGUUGUGAACAUUGUUGAAAUCACAACAAAUGAUUUAGAAUAUUACAUAAACUUAGUUGAAAAAGCAAUGGCAGGGUUUGAGAGGAUUGACUACAAUUUUGAAAGCUGUCCUACAGUGGGUAAAAUGCUAUCAAAUAGCAUCGCAUGCUACAAAGAAGUCUUUCAUGAAAGGAAGACUCAAAUUCCUUGCGGGAAACAUCUUUGUUGUUUGCCACCCCAACCUUCCGCAACCACUGCCCUGAUCAGUCAGCAGCCUUCAAAUUGUGGUUAAGGUCACCAAACCAAGCGGAUGCCUGGCUUGGGUUUUUGACAGUGGAGUCAGCGACAACAAAGACAACGGAUAAUUAGAGUUCAUUCAAACAUCCUUUGAGAUUUCCAGUAAAUCAUGGAAUUAAAAAAAAAAAGAAAUUACAGAUACAGUAAGAAAAGAAAAAGAGAAGAAAAAACAGUAGAUAAGCCACGCAAAAGUCUUCCUACCAAGAAUCAAGUUCAAAUGACUCAGCUGGUCAAUUUACUAAGACUCUUGUUCGGGAACAAGAAUCAAAGACUUAGAGAUGAUCAGUAACCUGGAGAAGUUAUACAGCAAGAAAAUCUACAUCAUGGAUUUCCCUGUAGAGUCAUGAGACAGGAAUGUGCAAAGCCAAAAGAGACAGCUGGG